UCUUUCACUUUGUUUGGUUUCUUAGGGUUUACUUGAACCAAGCCUACAGGCCUUAAGACUUGGUGGGAAUCCAUUGAGAAGCAUCCAAAGGAUAAUUUUAGAUAGAGGAACAAAAGCUGUUCUGAAGUAUUUAAAGGACAAAAUUCCAGAGCAGUAGCAUUGUUCAUAUCACCCUGAUACUCCAGGCUGAUCGUAUGUGGAUGUAUAAUAGACUUGUGCCAAGUCGGAAAGGGGUCAUUACUGAGUUCAUUAAUGGUGUGCGUGGAUUUAUAGAGUUUGCACUAACGCAACACAACUUUGUUUCUAAUGGGAGUAUAAAAGUGCCCAUGUUCAAGAUGUGAAAAUAGUGGGUUUCUCACAACAGAUAUUAUUGCUGCGCAUUUAUACAAGUUUGGGUUCAUGCCUAACUAUUAUCAUUGGGUUUCACAUGGGGAGCCUUUUAUACCAAUUU